rnacentral:lncRNA from 1 species
UCCCCUGUAGGCAAGAGGCUAAUCUCUCUAAGUAUUUCGGUGUUCGGAUGUGAAUGUGAUGGCCAUCCACUUGUGUGAUUUUGUAUAGCAAUAAUUAGAUAUGAGAGGAACAAAUGAUUGUGCAAGGGACGCUUGGACUGAGAGAUCACCACUUGCUUUAUGUUGAAAAUCUAGCCCUUUUGGUUUGUGCUCCAAGGAGAUCUUGUCCUUUAGGCUAAUUUCAUUUUCAUGACACUAUGCUACGUUUAUGAUCAUAUACCUGCUUCUCCUUUUAAAUUAUUGCUAACCCUAGUAUACAUUAGCUCUUCCAAAACCAGUUUCAGGCAUGUGGAAGCAUCAAAAUAGGCAGCCACAUGUGCAUUAAGAUCAAUCUCAUGCUAGUUCGUUCUCCUGGGUUUUUUUUUUCCUUCUGAGAAAGCUCCUGGGCACACUUGAUUUGCUUGAAGUCAUCAAAAAAUCUCAUUUCCAGAGUCUGGUUCAAUGUCUGCAGCUCGCUCCACUCCUUAAAAAUGUGGUCAGCAAUGAUUCUGAAUCUGUUUCCAGCCCCUUUAAAAGAUGGUCUAGAGUCAAAAGCAAAAUAUUCGAAACAGUGACCAGAACUGAAAUAUUAACGUGAAGUGAGUGGCAUGAUAUAUGUCAAAUUGCUAUUAUCAUGGAAGGCCAGCUUUAUACAUGGACAAGAGGUUAAAACUUCUUGGACCAGAUGUUGAACCAUGUCAAUUGAUCUCCACAUACACAUGAUCGCUAGAAGGUAGAGAUCGUUCGAGUCCGUGUCAUAAUUCAUGUAGGGGAUAGGGAGAGAUACCUUCUAGUCUUGGAGUGGGACCUUUUUUUUUCUUUUUUUUUUUAAUUCCCAACAAAUAAAUUUUAUCGACAACUAAGAUCUAAAUGUUAUAACAUCUUGGUACAUUUAUUUCUUUGAGAAUGUUUUACUUGAACGUCAGAAGAACUUUAAAUAUUGAUCGGUGUAGUGACUGAUAGCUUGCUGCUACUCUUGCACAAGUAAGAUAGUUGAGAUUUGAAUCUCAUCUUUAUUAGUUAUUUACCACUGUUUUUUUUUAAAUAAAAAUUAUAAUUCAUGUUAUAGACUAAAGUAAAUAAAUUAUAGUUAUGAUAAAUAAUAAUUGUAUUAUUGAUCUUGUUCACACCUCAUUGCAUGUUAUACCUUAUGAAAUGUUGACCAAUAACAAUUUAUAAACCUUUUCUCUUCUAACAAAAAAUAUAAAAAUACAUUUACUCCAAUUUUCUUACCCUCACCUAACACACUAUAUAUUGUGACCUAAAUAUACAAAGUCAAUAGUAUAUAAAUAUCUAACUAGAUGGAGAAUGAAAAAAAGAGUUUCAGAAGACUUAUUAUCUAUAUAAUUAGAUGGAUACUAGAAAAAAAAUAAACAAAAUUAAUAUGGUAUAUACAGUUAAAGGGAUCAUAACAUGAAAACAUGUCAAACAUGUCAAACUAUACAACAUAUGUGAACAUUUGCAUUUGUUUCUACUUAAAACAUAAAUUUAUGUUCCUUUUUGUGUAUUAAUUCAUUUAGUGUUGUUUUCCCUUUUUUUUUUACUAUACUAAUUUUUUAAAAAAAUUAUUUAUUAUUAAUAAUACAAUUUACUGUAUUGCAUUGUUUUAACAAUACAACUAAUUAAAUAUGAUAUUUAAAAAAAUGAUUUAUUUUACUUCUUCAAUUUUUGUAAAAAAAAUAUUAUUUUAAAAAAAUCACUAAGUAUGUCAAUUUAUGCAUUACCCUUCUCUUGAUCGUUGAGGCAAUGUAAAACACAUCCUUUGUUACCUAAAAGCUACAAAAUUAGACAUGAUUUGUGUUGCACCCGACAUCGUGAUGACCUUUAAAAAUUCAAUUUUUUUUUAUAAAGAAUAGAUUUAUAGCAUCUUGUUCUUUGAUGAGGAAAUGUCUUAUUUAAGGAGUCGUCACAUAGUAUCAUGGUCACUAGAAACCCUAACCGGUCAAUAGAGGUUCUAUGGUACGAGACUGGUUACAAAAAAGAAAAGAUAUUAUCAUCCCUUAAACGUCCUACCUGGGGUAAGCUGCAUUACUGGUUUCGUCUUAAAUUGCUAAGUAUCUGUCAUACUAUGCUACUGAUAGUCUGUUUAAAAUAUUCCUGAUUUUAGUGUCAGUGAAUAUUCGGAUACGAAUAUUUAUAACUUUGUUGAUAAAUAUUACAUAGCUAAAAAAACAAAUGGUAUUUUUGGCUCUGGCGUCAGUGAAUAAAUCAUAAAAUGAAUUUGAAACAAAACAUACAUAUUUUUUAUCUCUUUUUUUAAAAGAAAAAAAUAAAAUAUAUUAAAUACCGGAUUUACAUUUCACAAUAAAAAAUCAUAAAUCAAAUAUACAGUGAAAUACCCUAAAAAAACAUAAAAGACCUACAAAUAAAUUCAAAAGGGUCCAUAAAUUUUUUGAAAUUUUUUGAUAUAAAAAAGUGGUUAAUAUCAAAACAAAAGAGAAUAAAAUAAAGGGGAUUGGACCAGCUGGGCCUGAGACUCAGCCCAGCCUUUUCUCUUUCUAUUUUUCUUUUUGUGCUGGGUCUAGCUUAGCCCGUAUUUCCUGGGCUAGACCUAGCGGCCCAGCCCGGUUACUGGCCCAAGCCAGUGACCCGGCUGGCCAGCAGGAGGCACGCGCAACGCGUGCGUGCACAGUGAAGGGUUAAUUAAAUUCAAGCUGCACAGUAACUAUGUAAUAAAAAAUGGAAGAGGAGGGGACGAAAAACUUACCUGAUUUGCAGGCGUUGUUGGAGGCGAAAGACUGGGAAUAACACUGGCUUUGGACGAUUCUCUUCUCUUUCUUUCUGUUUUCUCUUUGCUUUCUCCUCUGGUUUCCUCUGUUCUGUGCUCCGUAGUCCUCCCCCGUGUUUGUUCCUUCUCUUUCGUCCCUGUCUUCUUUUUUUCUCACGCGUUCCCCUGUUUCUUUUAGAAGAAACAGGGGAAUAACAGUCCUGCUAUUCUGGUUCGUCCUUCUGUGUUGUUCUCUUGUUCUUUCUGUGUGUUUAUUUCCUGGGCUUUCCUCUCUCUCUCUAAUUUUUUUUUCGUGUUUUCUCCUCUGGUUUUUCCGCUCGUCCGUCCUCUGUCUCUGGUCUUUUGUUUUUGUGUUCUAGUCUCUCUGUUUUCGUUUGCCUACUGUGUUUGUGUUCUGAGGACGAAGGCGAAGCUGGGGUACGCUGGCCUUUUGUUCUCUUCCCUUGUUUCUGUCUCGUUUGCUUCUCCAGUCGUCCCCUCUGUUCUCUGUUUCUUUUUUUCUCUUCGUUCCUGUCUUUUUUUUUCGUCCCCUGACCCGGUUCGUGGCGUUUCUCUGGCUUUUAUAAGGCCAGAGAAUGCCAUGCGGUGGUAACGGCAUGCAUCGUGGGGGGAGGGAUAGUAGCCGUGAGACGUGCCCCAUAACUGAAACAAUUUAGUACUUUUACUGCUGAAAGCCUGAAACGUCUUCACUGCUGAAACAGUUUCUGAUGAAUAGUUUUUCUGAAACGGCUCCGUUUUCCCAAUCCAAGUGGUUAUUUUCGAUUUG